rnacentral:rRNA from 1 species
CAGCCGCCGCGGUAAUACGUAGGUGGCAAGCGUUGUCCGGAAUUAUUGGGCGUAAAGGGCUCGCAGGCGGUUUCUUAAGUCUGAUGUGAAAGCCCCCGGCUCAAUCGGGGAGGGUCAUUGGAAACUGGGAAACUUGAGUGCAGAAGAGGAGAGUGGAAUUCCACGUGUAGCGGUGAAAUGCGUAGAGAUGUGGAGGAACACCAGUGGCGAAGGCGACUCUCUGGUCUGUAACUGACGCUGAGGAGCGAAAGCGUGGGGAGCGAACAGGAUUAGAUACCCGUGUAGUCCCUGUCUCUUAUAC